rnacentral:rRNA from 1 species
GAUGAACGCUGGCGGCGUGCCUAAUACAUGCAAGUCGAGCGAACAGACGAGGCGCUUGCUCCUCUGACGUUAGCGGCGGACGUGUGAGUAACACGUGGAUAACCUCCCUAUCAGACUGGGAUCACUUCGGGACACCGGCGCUUAUCCCGGAUAAUAUCUUGAACCGCAUGGUUCAAUAGUGAAAGACGGUUUUGCUGUCACUUCUAGCUGGUUCCGCGCCGCAUUAGCUAGUUGGUAAGGUCACGGCUUAGCAAGGCAACGAUGCGUAUCCGAGCUGAGAGGGGGAUCGGCCACACUGGAACUGAGACAGGGACCAGGGGCCUGCGGGAGGCAGCAGAAUGGAAUCGUCCGCAGUGGGCGAAAGCCUGACGGAGCAACGCCGCGCGAGAGAUGAAGGUCUUCGGAUCGUAAAACUCUGUUAUUAGGGAAGAACAAAUGUGUAAUUAACUAUGCACGUCUUGACGGUACCUAAUCAGAAAGCCACGGCUAACUACGUG